rnacentral:lncRNA from 1 species
UUGGUGGUGGCCACCUCUGCAGGCCCUGUGGCAUUGCUCUAAGAGCUGUGGGAGCAGCUGAAGGUUGCAUUAAGGACUGAGACCCACCACCAGGACAGACUGAUGUGUCCUGGAGGAAGGUUGAAUGAGCAGGGACAUUGCUGUCUGAAGGUCGGCCCUUGGCAUCUGUUAGCGAAGGCUACAGCAGCUACCUGCCGAUAACACCUUGCAUGUGAGUGACCAUUCAGUCCCAUUCCUGGAGCCAAAACCUACCUAAGUUGAUGGGAUUCCUCACCAGCUUCACUGGGUUUGGGAUUUGGCUUGUAGCCCUUUCCAGCCAUUGGUGAAGGUCAUGGUUUUCCUGUCCCAUAGCAAGGCUGAGAUUCUCUUGCUUUGGAAAAGGUAACAUGAAUAGACCGUACUUUGAGAGGGAGAUACUUUUUCCCAAGUAAGAGUGUGUUUCUGUGAUUUCUUUUUAUCCUCAGGUUUUGGGACCUCCAGGCAAGAAAGGUGUCAGGGGUGAUAUUGGACCAACAGGGGCCCUGGGACCACAAGGAGACAAAGGAAUACAAGGAGACAAAGGAGAGAAGGUAAUGUAUUUGCUUUUCUUGGCACAUCCUUUAUGGGUAGAAGGGUUUAUUUUGUUUGUGUCCGCAAAGGAAACGCUGAAGCAGAUGGAGUUCC